AGAGUUUGAUCAUGGCUCAGGACGAACGCUGGCGGCGUGCUUAACACAUGCAAGUCGAACGGAAAGGCCCCUUCGGGGGUACUCGAGCGGCGAACGGGUGAGUAACACGUGGGUGAUCUGCCCUGCACUUCGGGAUAAGCCUGGGAAACUGGGUCUAAUACCGGAUAGGACCCCUUGGCGCAUGCCUUGGGGUGGAAAGCUUUUGCGGUGUGGGAUGGGCCCGCGGCCUAUCAGCUUGUUGGUGGGGUCACGGCCUACCAAGGCUCCGACGGGUAGCCGGCCUGAGAGGGUGUCCGGCCACACUGGGACUGAGAUACGGCCCAGACUCCUACGGGAGGCAGCAGUGGGGAAUAUUGCACAAUGGGCGCAAGCCUGAUGCAGCGACGCCGCGUGGGGGAUGACGGCCUUCGGGUUGUAAACCUCUUUCACCAUCGACGAAGGUCCGGGUUUUCUCGGAUUGACGGUAGGUGGAGAAGAAGCACCGGCCAACUACGUGCCAGCAGCCGCGGUAAUACGUAGGGUGCGAGCGUUGUCCGGAAUUACUGGGCGUAAAGAGCUCGUAGGUGGUUUGUCGCGUUGUUCGUGAAAACUCACGGCUUAACUGUGAGCGUGCGGGCGAUACGGGCAGACUGGAGUACUGCAGGGGAGACUGGAAUUCCUGGUGUAGCGGGAAUGCGCAGAUAUCAGGAGGAACACCGGUGGCGAAGGCGGGUCUCUGGGCAGUAACUGACGCUGAGGAGCGAAAGCGUGGGGAGCGAACAGGAUUAGAUACCCCCGUAGUCC
rnacentral:rRNA from 1 species